CCCUGUUGCGCUCAGUGCUGUACAAACACAGAGGAAAAAAGACUAUGCCUUAGGGCCUGGUUUUCAGAGAAACAGAGUAUCCUCAACUCCCAUUAAUGUCUAUGAGAGCCGCAGGUGUUAAUCACCUCUGGGAAUCAGACCCCGAGUGCCGGGGUUUAUUUUAAGAGCACCACUGACAUUGAAUUAAUCUAUAGAUCUAUUGACUCAGCCCCUUCACUGACCUUAAAAAAGACACAUUUUCAGGAAAAAAAAUAGAUAUUAUCUAAAACAUAUUCACAUCCAGAGCACGGUAUCUCAACACUCGGUUGUCUUUGUGUGCAUGACACAGUUUAUCUGGGUAUUUAUCUCCAACCAUUGUUGCAUAAAUAGUGAACAUACAAUGGGCCCACGCUGGCUACCUGAUUUAUUUCCACAAGUUAUUGAUGACUUCAUAACUCAUGAGUGUCAGAGCAAAGCCGGGCCCAGAGUGAUUUAUGAAGGGUCAUUAAUAAAGAAUGAAAAUAAAGGAUGUAUCUAGAAUCAGCCCUCUUUAUGCAACACUAAAUCAGACAAAUGCCAAGAUGAAAACUAUCAUCCACAUUCUCCAUGUCAAUGAAUAGUAUGGAGAAAAUGGUCUGGAAGAUAUCAAUGUAGAAGAGAAACCAUAAACAGCGUGGUGACACUGUGAAAAUGACAUUGUGUGGUCUCAGAUUUAUAUUUUCCAGACAAACUGGCCCAGUUCACUGGCAGCAACAAUAUGAAUUCUUAAGCAAGAAAUCACCAUGUCUCUCCUCUGAGCAACUAUGAAUGCCUUUCACUCUUAUACAGAGUUUGGCUGGCUGAUGGGAAUAAGAAAACUGAUAAAAGAUGAACUAAGUGACUGGUACUGGUAUAUGUAAUGCAUAGGGCCUUGGCAAAGGGUCCCUUGUUCUUUGCAAGCAACUCUCAUCCCAGACCUGAUGAACUCAGUACAUCAAAUGUUUUGCUUACAGGGUAUUUGUCCAUAAAGGGUCAAAUGUAAGGUCUCUAUUGAAAGCUUUCAACUUAUUGAUGUUUAUAAUCAUGAUGUGUGGGUGAUAUUUAAGGAAUAAUGUAACUAUAUUCAAGUUUGUGCCCUUAUGGUCUUAAAGUUAAAAGGAAUCACCAAGGCAUGAUGCUAUUCGGUGAUGGUCUAUUCAUGCAGGAUGAAAUUGCCAUCCCUCCCUGGUCAGCCAGUGGCAUACUGCAAGGUUCAGUUGUCCCAUCAUAGAACAGUCAAUAGAAAGCCAUCAAAGACAACUGCAAACAAUCGAAACUACUUGGAGAUAAACAAGGAAUGUUACCACAGAUGGGGAAUUGCCCGGUCUCUGAAUAAAGACAAAUGACUGUUUCAAUAUAACAUGGAAUGGGUCUGGAUCCAUUCACUGAUGAGACAUCUUGUUGAACAGGGGUGUUUUUCAUGAAAUAUUAGAUCCUAUUUCCUGUGAAGCCAGCCAGUUCUGCAACAAUCUGAACUUUGGAAGGAAAACCUACUUUAUUAUCUAGGAAAGCACUGCUGGAAUAAGAAGUAGGACUUUUAUCGUUCAGUAAAGAAUGAUGAAAUUCUGCCGGGCAUAUUGCUAAUGAGUAUGAAGCAUGAUGAGGCACCAAGACUCGAUGUACCCAAUACCGGUACUUAGGAGCCCUAUAAUGGACUUUCCCAAGAUUUCAAAAGUGUCUUAUUCCUAGACCCAAAACAAGGGGAGAGCUAGUGAUGCUUCAUCAGCAGGGAAAGAGAAGUGCCACUUUAUCAUAUCUCUGUGCGUAUACUGACCAGCCAGAAACACUGGAUGAAACUGGGGAACCAAGAAGACAGAGUGUGACCAAGUAAGAGACUUCCAUUCACUGCAAUACUUCAUGGGGUGGCAGCCAGGUAACCAAUGUCAACCUGCUGUUCCAUGUGCAACUACACGAUCGAUUUACACAUUCCAUUUGUAUUUGUUUACAGUUCUGUAUCUUCCAUCCCAGGGAGUGUUCUA